rnacentral:rRNA from 1 species
GACGAACCGUGCGAACGUUAUUCGGAAUCACUGGGCUUAAAGCGCGUGUAGGCGGGCCAGCACGUCGGUCGCUGAAAUCCCCCGGCUCAACCGGGGAAGGGGCGCCGAAACGACCGGCCUGGAGGGGGGUAGGGGGCGCCGGAACUCACGGUGGAGCGGUGAAAUGCGUUGAGAUCGUGAGGAACGCCCGUGGCGAAAGCGGGCGCCUGGACCCCGCCUGACGCUGAGACGCGAAAGCGUGGGGAGCAAACAGG